ensembl:lncRNA
UGACCCUUUGUGUUGGUGUUUCCUUCAUUUGGGCAGUUACCUGUAGAUGUGGCCUAUGCAGGAAUCAAACUCAUAAUAGGGAUAUUGCUGCAAACAACUGGUGUACCUGGCAUUGGUGUGUACAUUGACCUAUUGGAGAACACACACACACACACACAAACACACUUCACUGUUGGAAGGCGUAUGAAAAUCAGGGUCAUGACUGACUCAACAAAAAUGUCUAAAGGUGAAAAAUUCGAAUGGUUCUCUCUGCCUCUCGCACUUAUCCUCCACUCUUCUCCUCCACUCUUAUCCUCCACUCUUCUCCUUUUCACUUCUUUCUUUCUUUUCUUCUUCUCUCAUUCUUUUUUUGUGCCUGUCUUUGAAGUGAGGAAGUUUGCAGAAAACCUCUCAGAAGAAAAGCAGCAAACGCCAAAGAUGAAGAGAAGGCUUUAUGGAUAGAGAAACAGAGAAUGGGGAGAAAGGAGAGCGAGGAGUUUAGACUUCUGCACUGUUUCCUCUCUCUUCAGUCUGUCUGUCGUUUUUUUUGAAGCGCAUUGUCUCUCUUCUCUUCUUCUCUCCCCUGUUUUUCUCAAGCUGGUCAUCUCCAGAAUGAAUAGAAGGCUUGUACUUACAGUCCUGGCCCUGAAUGUUGUAACCAAUGAAAUCAAGGUAUCCACCUCCCAACCUCUCACACCAUCCAACUCCACUCCUGCUACCUUCAUUCCCCCUGCUCCCACCACUUCCUGUGUGUGUAAAGUCUCCACUUCCUGUUCCUCUCCGACCCAGCCCGAGUCUCCGCCACCUGCGCUGGGUGUUAUCAAGGUCAAAUGGGAAGAAAAGUCCUGUAAGGGGGACGUACACCUGUCUCUCCUCUCGUCCCAUUCCUUGCCAGUUUGCUUUAACAGUCUUACCCAUCGUAGUCUUCAUCGCGCAGGGCUGUGUAAGAGGAAGGGCUGCGAGGGCUCCCCAACAUGGACUAAGAUCAAUCCUAAAGCUUUGGGUUACCAGAUCAGUACGAAUGGAAGUGUUGCCAACAACCCCUGUACAACACUGGGGAUCCAAUGCGAAGUCGUCUCAGAUCAGUUAGUGGGCUAUAAGGUGGUGACUGGUCUGCUGUGUGUUCUGGUGCUGGUGGUGCUGAUGGUGCGUUUCGGGCAGCCCUCCUUCAAGGCCCUCCGUAGGAGACGUGAGUACCAGACACCUGGGCCUGCAUCCACAAAGCUUGGCGGCGUAGGAGCGCUGAUCUAGGAUCCGUUCAUGUACUCGUCGUGUUCAUUACGAUCAAAAAGGCCAAUACUGAUCCCAGAUCAGCACUUCUACUCUGAGAUGCUGUGCGUUAACGGGGGCCCAGAUCUAAACACUGAACACAUGAGAGUACAUUUAGGAUGACAACAAAGCACUUCAAUUACUGCAAUAAAGUUCUUAAAGAAAAAAGUCCACAGUACUUGGACCGAUCCAAUAGCAGUUGAUCAAAUAAUGUGUCAUAAGGUCAUGGCAGAAAAGAAAAGGAUGUUGAUACCAGGAUCGGUGUGGCAUUUAUUUCAUUCAUAUUUUGUCAGUUAUGGAUCAAGUGUUUCUUUUGUCAUUGAGGCAUGUUAUCUUGGUGUGUGUUGGUAAUGUGGUGUGUGUUGGUCGGGUACUUGGUGUGUGUUGGUAAUGUGGUGUGUGUUGGUCGGGUACUUGGUGUGUGUUGGUAAUGUGGUGUGUGUUGGUAAUGUGGUGUGUGUUGGUCGGGUACUUGGUGUGUGUUGGUAAUGUGGUGUGUGUUGGUCGGGGUACUUGGUGUGUGUUGGUAAUGUGGUGUGUGUUGGUCUGGUACUUGGUGUGUGUUGGUCGGGUACUUGGUGUGUGUUGGUAAUGUGGUGUGUGUUGGUCUGGUACUUGGUGUGUGUUGGUCGGGUACUUGGUGUGUGUUGGUAAUGUGGUGUGUGUUGGUCGGGUACUUGGUGUGUGUUGGUAAUGUGGUGUGUGUUGGUCUGGUACUUGGUGUGUGUUGGUCGGGUACUUGGUGUGUGUUGGUAUGUGGUGUGUGUUGGUCGGGUACUUGGUGUGUGUUGGUAUGUGGUGUGUGUUGGUCGGGUACUUGGUGUGUGUUGGUAAUGUGUGUGUGUUGGUCGGGUACUUGGUGUGUGUUGGUAAUGUGGUGUGUGUUGGUCGGGUACUUGGUGUGUGUUGGUAAUGUGGUGUGGUGUUGGUCGGGUACUUGGUGUGUGUUGGUAAUGUGGUGUGUGUUGGUCGGGUACUUGGUGUGUGUUGGUAAUGUGGUGUGUGUUGGUCGGGGUACUUGGGUGUGUGUUGGUAAUGGUGUGUGUUGGUCGGGUACUUGGUGUGUGUUGGGUAAUGUGGUGUGUGUUGGUCGGGUACUUGGUGUGUGUUGGUAAUGUGGUGUGUGUUGGGUCUGGUACUUGGUGUGUGUUGGUCGGGUACUUGGUGUGUGUUGGUAAUGUGGUGUGUGUUGGUCGGGUACUUGGUGUGUGUUGGUAAUGUGGUGUGUGUUGGUCUGGUACUUGGUGUGUGUUGGUCGGGUACUUGGUGUGUGUUGGUAAUGUGGUGUGUGUUGGUCGGGUACUUGGUGUGUGUUGGUAAUGUGGUGUGUGUUGGUCGGGUACUUGGUGUGUGUUGGUAAUGUGGUGUGUGUUGGUAAUGUGGUGUGUGUUGGUCGGGUACUUGGUGUGUGUUGGUAAUGUGGUGUGUGUUGGUCGGGUACUUGGUGUGUGUUGGUAAUGUGGUGUGUGUUGGUCGGGUACUUGGUGUGUGUUGGUAAUGUGGUGUGUGUUGGUCGGGUACUCGGUGUGUGUUGGUAAUGUGGUGUGUGUUGGUCGGGUACUUGGUGUGUGUUGGGUAAUGUGGUGUGUGUUGGUCGGGUACUUGGUGUGUGUUGGUAAUGUGGUGUGUGUUGGUCAGGUACUUGUGUGUGUUGGUAAUGGUGUGUGUUGGUCGGGUACUUGGUGUGUGUUGGUAAUGUGGUGUGUGUUGGUCGGGUACUUGGUGUGUGUUGGUAAUGUGGUGUGUGUUGGUCGGGUACUUGGUGUGUGUUGGUAAUGUGGUGUGUGUUGGUCGGGUACUUGGUGUGUGUUGGUAAUGUGGUGUGUGUUGGUCGGGUACUUGGUGUGUGUUGGUAAUGUGGUGUGUGUUGGUCGGGUACUUGGUGUGUGUUGGUAAUGUGGUGUGUGUUGGUCGGGUACUUGGUGUGUGUUGGUAAUGUGGUGUGUGUUGGUCGGGUACUUGGUGUGUGUUGGUAAUGUGGUGUGUGUUGGUCGGGUACUUGGUGUGUGUUGGUAAUGUGGUGUGUGUUGGUCGGGUACUUGGUGUGUGUUGGUAAUGUGGUGUGUGUUGGUCGGGUACUUGGUGUGUGUUGGUAAUGUGGUGUGUGUUGGUCGGGUACUUGGUGUGGUGUUGGUAAUGG